UUAUCUUAUAUAAUAUAGAAUAUAAAAAAUUUAUAACUUAUAAUUUGUGGGUGUCUCUAUAGCUCACACAAUCUAUCACAGAAGUCAUGAAGCAUAUUUAAAGCAUAAAUUUACUUAAAUUGUGUGUCAAGUAGAAGCCAUCAUUAAGUAGAGACAUGAAGCCAGCACUAUCAAGAAAAGUAGUUCUUCUGAUAGCAUUCUUAGUUAUAUGCUGCUUUUCAUCAUUUCUUAUUAGAGCAUUUGCACGAGGUUUGAGAACAGAGCAAUUUGGGUUUAAUGCAAGACAUGCGGGUCAUGAAGGAGUUUUGAUGGCAGAGAAAGUGAAUAAACAUGAAAAUGAUGGGGAAGAUAUGGUCUCUAUGGAUUAUACAGCACCUCGGAGAAAUACACCGAUUCAUAACUAGUGUUGUCAAACUUGAUAUGGAUUCGUGAUUUUGUAUUGCCAUUUAUAAUUGUUGGCGUCGUGAACUUUCUUUUAUUUGAUAUGGACAAGAGAAGAAGGCUAGCUAGCUACAUGUCUCACAGUCUAUGCUCAUUUGAUUGAAUGCAUGUAUAAAACAAAACAAUUUUACAUUGAAUCGAUGUAUACAAAGUAAAUCAUUCUAUAUUUUCUUUUAAUAACAAAGUGAUGUAUAUUAUUUGAUAUGUAAUUUUGAUUAGAUAUACAUGUA